rnacentral:lncRNA from 1 species
CCUUGAUUUGGCGGCGCCGGCCGCCUACCUGGCUAGCCGCGGCGGCCCUCAUCCUCCGCCGUCUCCCCUGUCCCGACCCACGCCAAAUCAGCCUUGAUUUGGCGGCGCCGGCCGCCUACCUCGCUAGCCGCGGCGGACCCUCAUCCUCCACCCCGCACUAGUCGCCUCCUCCUCGUUGGCGGCGGCAGCGGCCCCAGCGGAGACGGCAACACCGGCCCUGACGCCGCGCGAGAUGUGCUCCAGGGCGACAUCGUCCUCUAGGGCGUCGAAGACGAGGGCCUCCGGAGUGGCGUCCCAGAGCUGGCUGAGCUGCUCAGGAGCGUCCAAGGCGGCCACGGAUGAGAGCUCGUGAAACGUUGCAAAGAGAUCAUCGAGGAGGAGCGCAUCCAGUUUCGGUGAGAGAUCUUCGGUGGCUGUACUCGUGUCCGUUGAUGCUUGUUGGCUGCUCGGAGUUGGGGCAGGCUGGGAUGGUGGUGGUGGAGCCCUGCGUCGACGUGCUAGGCCUAGGCUAGGCUAAUUGUGUUAAUUAACGCAUGUGACUUAGUCCAUAACCAACCUCAUGAACUGGUGUGAUCACACGUUCUCUGUUUUCCAGGAUGAGCUCGUUAGUGAUCCAAAUUAUUAGGAGAGUUACUAGCUUAUACACGUUGUAAACUUGUACCUGUAUUUGAAUCGAUCCGGUGCAGCGAACACGAAGUUUGGCUGUUCCCAAGGGCGGCCGGGAGCCUCGGCGGGUUCAGCGAGUGGUUGGCAGGGCUGUUGCUGCCCACCACAAGCUCCUCCAUGUGCAAGGGCCAACCGGAAGAAUUUAGUGAGAUCUGAAAAGAUAGUUGUGUUUUUAUCAAAAUUAAUUUGUCACACUCGUGUAAAGUUGCGAGAACGGCUGACAAAGUUGCCAGCUUUAGAAGAAAAUUGUCUACAUAAAAGAUAGCACACGUUAGCAAAAGCAACGAUCGGACACACCAAAGAUGUUUGCGAUGGGGUGAAAAAUUCUAGAGUGGAGCAAAAACUGUUAGCGGGUGGAACCAAAGUUGCUAGUAUGCCGAUCAAAAAAAAGUUGCCAGUACGUGAGUCCAAGAUGUCUGUAUAGAAAACAAAUUAAGUUGCUAGCAUGAAAGUCAAAAUUGUCAGUAUAUUAGCAAAGUUGCUAGUCUGUGAGUGAAAAUUGCCGAUAUAGAAGCCAAAGUUACCCGCAUGUGAGUAAAAGUUGCCGGUAUAGUAGCAAAAGUUGUUGGCAUAAAAGUCAAAGUUGCUAAAAUGCAUAAUUCAUUGCUAAGAUACUCCAAAUAGUUGCAUAAUGUUGAUCCGAGUUGCCGCAUCUUGCACAGAGAUAGGACCGUGCUUGAAUAUAAAGUUGCUAAAAUGCGCAAUUAGUUUCUAAGAUAGCUAAGAUAUGCCAAAUAGUUGCUUAGAACUGACCAAAAAAUUGUUGCAUCUUGCACAAAGAUUGGAUCGUACUUGAAUAAGUUGACAAAAUGUGUAAUUAGUUGCUAAGAUACGUUACAAAGUUGCUUAAUGUCGAUCCAAAGUUGCUGCACAUUACACAUAAGUAGGAUCAUGCUUGAAUACGAGGUUUGCUAAAAUGUGUCAUUAGUUUAUUAAGUUACAUCAAAUAGUUGCUUAAUAUUUGAUCCGAAGUUGUCGCACCUGCACAAAUAUAGGAUCGUGCUUGAAUGCAAAGUUGCUAAAAUGCAUAAUACGUUACCACAAAUAGUUGCUUAAUGUACAUCCAAAGUUGUCGCAUCCUGCAUAGAGAUAGGAUCAUGAUUGAAUGCAAAGUUGCUAAACAGCUUAAUUAGUUGCUAAGAUAUGACAAAUAGUUGCUUAAGAUUGAUCCAAAGUUGCUGGUAUAGAAGCAGAAAUUGUCAGUAUGAGAGUGAAAGUUGUCGAUAUAGAAAAAAACAAAGUAGCUAAUAUGUGAAUCAAAGUUGCCGAUAUAGCAGCCAAAGUUGCUAGUAUGACAAAAUUUACCGGUACAGCAGCCAAAGUUAUUAGUUUCUGAGUAAAAGUUAUCGGUAUGCACUCAAAGUUGCUAAUAUAUGAGUCAAAGUUGCGAGUAUAAUAGCCAAAGUUGUUAGUGUGUGAGUGAAAAUUGUUGAUAUAUUAGUCAAGUUGCUAGUGUAGCAGAAACUGCUAACAGGUAGUAAGAAAAGUUGCUUGUGUGAGAAUCAACUUUGCCAGCAUAUGAGUUAAACUUGGUAGCAUAUAAGUCAAAGUUGUUGGUAUAAAACACAAACUUACUAAUAUAUGAAUCAAAGUCAAACGACAAAGUUGCAAAUACAUUAGCUACAGUUGCUCGCAGUCGAGCAAAAGUUGAAAAUACAUGAACCAACGUUGUCUAUAUAGGAGCCUAAUUCAAUGGGUGUGGUAAAGCGAAAGUUGUUAGCGGAGGUGCAAGAGUUGCGAAAAAAUAGUAUAACUUGCUUAAAUUACACAGAAAGUUGCUAGCCAAUAAAAUUUUGUCAAAAAGUACUCACAUGGGGUCUAGUUUUGAAGCACUCGUCGUGAGAAAACCAACGGUGAAAACAGAUUAGAAUUUUGAUGCUCAGUUUGAAAGUUAUGUCUUUUCGAAAAGUUUUGAAGAAAAGAAAUUCACAUGGUGGCAUCAGUACUUCCCAUGCAGCCAGCUUGAAUGUAUGGCAUUAAUUAAUGGGUUAAUUAAAUUAUUUUAGCAUGCCGCGUGGAUGGGUUAGGAGAAGAAUCUGCGGAGUUUUUUCUGUCUCGUGGGAACUUUCCUUUUUAGGAGGCCGCUCGGAAGCCCAACUGAGCAAACGUUUGCUCCCUAGUCGGGUUUUGGUUUGUUACUUUAAAAGACAUAAAACAAACGUAGAACAAAGUCAGAGGGCAGAACAAUUUUGUGAGACAACAAACUGUACAACUAUAGAACAUAAAAAGGCAUGACAAUUAUGAGACAUGGCGUGUCGGACGAAAGACAGAGGACAUGACAUAGAACAUCAUGUGACAUAAAGCAAAGCAACAUGUACAAAAGAGAUGACAACAACGCCAAACCUCUCGGUACCCCCCACACUAUCUAUCCCCACCGUGCUAGCCUGCCAUGUGUCCAUUUUUAAUUUACUUCUCGCUUUAGUCUUUGUUUUCUCUUUCUUCUCGCUAACACAUGCAUGUUCCUUUGCUCUUCCCCACAUGUCUCUUUCUCAUUUCUCUAACACAUUUAUCUUUCUCAUUCAUGCAUGGUCUGUACAUCAAACCUCAACUAUUUGUUCGAAAAAAAGAUACGUGUCAUGUACUUUGAUGUAUCUUGAUGUACUAGGAGAAAAAGUUAAAUAUCGUCCAAUGUUCAUAUAAAAUUGAUGAUAGAUUUGGCAUGUACAUGUCAUGUACUUUAAUGUAUUCGUCAUGUACCUUGAUGCAUUUGUCAUGUACCUUGAUGUACUCAUCAUGUACUUUGAUGUACCCGCCGUCCUCUACCAUGUACUACACAUUGAUAACGUACUUGUCAUGUACCAGGAUGUACUUAGGCGGGAUACAUAACCACACGACAAUUACAAGACACCAUGCAAAGCAAUGACCAAGAUAUAUAUUGUAAGACCACAUGCGGAACCAAAUAAAUGUGUUCAACACAUUUCGAUGGAACCUAUCGACAAGCCGUUAGGGAGCACCGGUAUGACUAAAUUAAUGGUGAAAACAUAACGUAAUUACAAUGCUCAAUUUCAAAAAAUAUUGUAUUCAAUUUCUAAUCUAGCAAAUACAUACUACCUCCUUCCAGCAAUAUUAGGUGUAUUUGUUUUCCUUUGACUAAGCUUUUGACUAGAAAUUAUACAUUGAUAUAUAAUUUAUGUGGCAUAAAAUUGUUACCAUUGCAUGUGUAUUACGCUCGAGAGGUUGCGCCACACUUAUCGUGUAGAGGGUGCCCGAUCGGGGAGGCUACCAUUUUUUAGCAAAACCGAAAAAACACACACACACUGAAGCUAGGUCUUUCUCCAGAAAAAGAACUAUUGAGCCAGAUCUCCUCAAGACAAAAAGGAAAGGAAUCUAAUGAAUCCUUACAGAGAAAACUAUACAAUUCAGCUUACAAAAUUUAAGUAUACAAUUUACCAGCAAGCAAAUAAAAUAUAAACUCCCAUCAGAAAUAUAGUAGGCAACUUGAAUGCCUUUCCCUUAUCCACGCCAUGUUGUGCACCGGUGUGACAAACUAAUUUGGGUUAAAAAAAAGUUACACAAAAACAUAGGUUGUUUAAAAACUACGCAGUCUGAAUCUCUGAAUAGAGAAGGAAAAGAGAGGCUACGCUACCCAAAAAAAGGGUUACAAAGACAACACGGAGUAUUAAAAUUUCAGUAGCCUCGACACCGCGCCAUGGAAAACAAAAAGUGAAGUACAGUGCCAUAGUGUAGCGUCAGCAAAUAUGUGCAAGAUCCUCUAACUCUCCGGCCACUCCAAGUGCUCAAUCGGCUGUCCACUAACAUGCCAUGCGCCUUCAGAUAGUUCGUCAAACAGUUGGCUGUAUCCCCAACCCACAUAGCCGAGGAAAAACCACAAAUCCUCGGCAGAUUGCUGGCCUGAUUUGAUCCCCCUGAUUACCCGGCUUGUGGCAAUUAUAUUUCCAUAAUAGAGACCGGGUAUGACUUGUGCAUACCCCUCGAAAACGACUCUCGACAAACUCACAAGGUGGUAACCCUGAACCACAACAGGUCCACCGUAGAAGAAAGGGGCGAGCUUGAUAGGCUCCAUGGAGCUGUCCAAAUUCUUGAAGGCACCCCAGCUUAACCGUUUGUUGAUGAUUAAUCCAUGAAAGCCCUCAUGAGAAUCAGCCGAUACAAUGAGAACUUGGGCGUUAUCGAAUGGAACAGCAGCACCGAGCUUUUCGGUGGCAGUGAGGAUGGACCCUGUGACGAUAUGCACCUUGCCCCUUUCUGAAUGACUUGGAUGGGACUGGUGACCAACACUGCUGCUGUUCUUAUCGCUGAUGUGAAACUGGAAUGAUUGCGGUGCUGGUGCAUCAUGUCGCGUCACCAUCUUCUUCCGCAGAAAUCCUGUGUGCCAAAAAGAGCAAGGCUUUAGAAUACUUAUCUGCCAUAAUUAUACUGAAUAGUAUCAUUCCAAAAAAAUAAUUAGUAUCCUUUGCAAAAAUAAUACUUGGUAGAUUCACAAAACUAUCAUAUGAUCUUUGCUGUAAGAUUUGAGAAUGCAUGAGUCAGCUGUAAACUAGUCAAAUAAUAAAUUAUCGAGUAAUAAUAGGCAAUAUAAGUAUAUAACCUCAAAAGAACUUUGAGCAGAUCUUUGUUGAUGUGGCAUUCCCUGAGGUUCGAGGACUACCAGGUAUGACGGUAGUAACCUACAGUUGUAUACUGGACAGCACAUGUACACAGUGGAGAGCACAGACUUUUGUAUUGUACAUGAAAUGGUAACUUUUACGAACGACGAGUAUCCCUACUACUUAUAAAGUUUCGAGUUGGUUGUGAGUUCACUCCUCGCCUCUCACUCGUACUAACACGUGAGGCCAUAACAUUUUAAAAAGGCGCAAAUAAAAAAAAUUGGAGAAUGGAGAGGAGACUUGAACUCAAGAUAUUACAUUCACUGACAUAUGACAUGGAAUAGAGAAGCAAAUUAAUGGUUUUAACUUAUUCUAAUCCCAUGCGACCAGGUCUGUACCGAGAAUUCAGCCAAUCCUUGUCUUCCUACCUCCUUUCUUCCAUGUUUAACUAUUAUUAUCUUGUUAUAUGUGAAGUGUAAUUGUUUGUUGCAUACAACUGAUGGUACUGCUGCUCUUUUUUGUUUCGUAGCAUUGCACGGGCACUAUGCUAGUAGUCAGCAGACAGUCACAAGAUGCUUUUGCACCAACCUAUAUAUCCCGACAUAUGGUGAGAAUUGCUUGCAUGAGACUCCAGAAAUUCAAUUAAAUUAGCCACUGACAUUCCUCCUUCAUAUGAUAUUGCGCUUUUCUUCUCCGCAGGAAAAAGUAACACCGUAGGAUAAAACUCCUCCUAUGUGAACAUGAAGGUUACAUUAAUAUUAGUCAACAUAAUCACUACAAUACUAAAAAAUGGUGAUAUUAUACAACGCAUCAAUUUAAAGACAGCUUCGGAACCAAAGGUUUAAUCAAAUAUCAUGGUAUCCACUGAAACUUUGACUGUUGAGACAAGACCAAAACUCAUACCAAAGCCCUAUGAGUGGCAGAUCUAAAAUUUCAGUGAUGUCGGGCCAUUUUCACACCAACAAAGUUUUAAAGGCAUAGCACAAUUCGAUGAUUUUAUAGAGUUUAGGAAAACUAAACAUGCAUUUUGAGUUCAAAUACUAAACCGAAUGUGCUGCACAAUUUAGAGACUGUGAAUGCAUUUUAGUAUUUUACGGUGUAAAACAGUUCAAGUGUGCUAUGAAACUCUAAAAUUACUCAGGUUUACACAUUUCUACAUAAAAAUCUUGAGUUCAUCAUCAGUGUUUACUUUCAAAAAAGACUACAUGUCAAAUUAUUCAACAAUUGACCACCCAUGCUUUGCCUUGAAAAAGUACUUUUAAACACGAACCAAAUUUGUCAGUAGAAGCAACACAACUUGUAAAUGUAGAGGAACUUUUUUCAGCAAGCUUAAUAAAAUGCUCGACGUUGUAUAUUUUAUUAGAUUCUUGAACCUAUCAUUUUGUUGGAUCUUGCGGCUCCAUGCAUCAAUAAACUAGUUUCAUCUUGCCAUCAAAUGUAACUAAGUUAAAGUAAGUCUCCACAACAAUAGACUAAACUAAACAUACCCAUGCCCCCAUGGGCUCCGCACUAGAUCCGCCCACAAACCCUAUAGAACUCUCAGAAAAUUGGUCCGCCUUGUAAUGUAAGGAGUAGUUUAUUGAUUGAUUGAUGAUGAAUGGGUACAUGCCUCCGUUUAUUGAAAAGCUAAAGAACUCUCAAGAUGUGGAGAAUUUUUUCGCCGUACAUGCUACAAAUUUGACAAUGUUUUUAUUUAUUUUUACUAGAAGAUUUGGGCUCUGUCAUAGAAUAUAUAAUAUUCUUCUGUAAAGUUGGGAAAAAUUAACAGAUAGCAAAUAUGUCAUAGAAUAUAUUAUAACUACCUUGCCUGAUGAUUUUAGUAAAUGAUGGCAGUCAUUGGUUGUGCAGUCCAUCAAGUAAAUAACUGGAAGGCCCAUCGUAGUAGAUUCUCCAUUUUUCUCUGCAACUUAAAGGAUGAGCAUUAGUUUGAAAUAUUACAUAAAUGAUGUUUAGCAACAUCUGGAGGAACAGGCCAUAGUAAGAUGUUCUCUAAGGAUGACACGGCAUAUAUAUACUACUACAGUGGUGUUGCAUUAGUAUUCGUACAAUUUGCCAGUCUAGUUUAUAAGUUGUACAUUUUAUUAUAUUCACUUUAAAACAAGUCAUAAAAUGGUAUGAUUCACUGGGUGAUAGCAUCAUUUUCUUAUAGAAAGUGCAAAGCUUGCAAUUUCAGACUUGUCAUGCAUUUGACUCAUGGGCUAUCAUUCAUGACAUCUAGGAUUCUAGAUAAGAUUCAUUUUCUGAUGCUAAUCAGCAUAAAUGGAGUACAGCAAGGUGACUAGCAUUACAUCCGGAAAUCCAAAAGGGAACUUAAAUAGCAGGAGAAUUUUGCACUGUUUGAAAAGACAGAAGGGCAAUGGAAGCUCUCCACUUUCAAGUUUCAACUGAUGAGUUUAGGAUAGUACCUUCGGUCUGCAAAUUUUGAGUGUCUGCAAAUUGAGCGUUCAAACUCAUAAAAGUUUUGAAUGAUUGGUGCAACUCACGGACAACAAGAUCUAUUCGCUGGCAAAACCCACACCAAGGGUUGCUGAAAAGCACCAGCACAUCUUUCUUCCAAGCAGAUGAAAUAUUCUCAGUAUUCAGAAAUGACAUUCCGUUUUCUGAAUCACAAUCUUCAAAUCCAAAGACCAGGGGACAAAAACUAAUUGCUGUCAAUAGAGGGAUGGAAUUUGCCUCAUGGAAAUCAAGAUUGACAAAAGGCGGCCUGGGAAGCUCCUUUGAACUUAUGAAAGUUGAGGCCGAACGAUAAUAUGAGGAAAGAUUUUGAUUCACAAAAUUGUCAAAAUAAUUUUCUAAAGAAGGGUAACUAAAUUCACUUUCCUGAGGAAAGACAUAAUGCUUUUGUUGAACUGGAUCAACUAUUACAAGGGAUGGAACUCUUGAUCCACCUGUCAAAGUUCUCAGAAGCCUAGAACCACCAUCAGAAAAGAAGAACGGACCAAUAAAACGGUUAUCUGAUAUGCUUGAAGUUACCUGCUCUGUAUAGUCUGUGUUAUCACUUGCAAGGAUACUGGAAGAGCUAAAUGUUGCAUCUGGAGAAUAUUUGCUGUCACGCUUUUCUGACUGUUCAUCUAGAUUAAAUAAAUCACGCUCGUAAAUGAAACUCUCAAUUGUUCCAGAUUCUUGACCCUGGACUGAAAAUACAUCUUGCUUAUUUCGUGAUCCUGAUUUCUCUGUGUUCAAAUGCACAUUUCUCCCAUCAGGUUCCAAGAUGUCCAAAUCUUCUGCAAUUGUUUUCUCAUCUCUGUAGUUCAGAUCGGGGCUUACAUCUGAGGCCUCAGCUUCUUGUUGUUCCUCUAUUUCUGUGUCACUACAUUCAUGAUCAUCAUUAUUGAUACCACAGUAAUAUGCAGCAGUUUUCUCGAGUAUACUUGGUGCUUGUCCAUCGUCAAUAUGUUCAACCUUUGUUGCCUUGUUUUCAUGCAUGGAAACUUCAAUGAUACCAUCAGUGCCAAUGUCUGACCUAGCAAAUGAAUCAGCCGUUCCUUCAUGUUGACUUUCUUGAAUUGAAACGGAAUCGACCAAUUGGACUUCAGAGUCAUCAGAAAGCAGCUUUAGGCCAAUAUCUUUUCCAACAAAACUUAUCCUUGUUUUCUUUGACCUAUGCGCUGGUCUUGCUUCACGGACCAGUUUUGUUAGAAUAUCAUAUAAAGGGCUAUUGGUACUACCUUGGCUACCACUUCUGUAUGAAAUAGUUUCUCCAUCUUUAACUACCAUUACUGACAUUUUAUCCUCUAGUUCCAUAAACUUCGAGGCCAAAGCAUGCAACCUAGUUUUUUCAGAGUGGGCAUCUGACUUACUUCUGCUUGGUAUAGAAGGAACAACUUCUGAGCGCAUUAUGGAGUAACCACUAUUUAGAUCAUCAGAAUUGACAUAAGGAGGAUAAUUAUCCUGAACAUACUCCCUUAGUAACUUGAGAGAUAAUUUACUUUCAUCUCGAGUUUUUGAAGAAUCAGAUAAUCUGUCGAUAAAUAGAAUAGCAGAGGGCCUAUUUGAAGGAAAGGUAGCCUCACCCCCACUCUCAUCAACUUCAAUCUACAAAUAUAACAUGUAAUUUGAAAAGUCAUGUCGUGAUGCAUGUGCAGUUAAAAACUUUGGAUAUUUGGACAUGUCGUAACAAGAACAAACAAGAUAACAGAAACUCACAUAAAACAAUGCAUUUUCUAUUAAACAAGGUAUCCUGUCAUCAAGAUCAAUAGAUUACAUAAGGCUUAAUAUAUAAGAUUAUGAACAAAUUGGAUUGUUUACUUCAUCUACAGCUUAAGAACAUUUGUUCAAGAAGAGAACCAAACAUUUGCAAUAAAAUUAAACCUGGUUCAAAGAAUUGAUAAACAAAGGAAAUAUAAGCAAAGUAACAAGAAAGCAUUUGGUACAGCAUUGUAUUUGUCUGACAUACAUUCUCCACAAUUACAUACUAAUAGCGGCCACACUGAAAUGCAUGGAAUGAACAACUAUCUUCGCCUUUAGCACAUAUCAGGUUCUUUUAGCAAAGUAAUAAAGUUCAUGAAAUGGAUUUUCACUGACCUCCUUAACAUCGAGAUUAUGAUGAGAUUGCAACAGGCUUCUUAGGUCAUCCCCUUCUUUUGCAGUAACUGAACAAGUUGCGCAUCCCAGAUAAUGAACACUAAGGAACCAUGUCUCGGAAUUGCCUUCAUUGAUAAUGUCUAAUGAAGGUAAUAAUGACUUUUCAGUUAUAAGACCAAAUCUAACUUUCUCUGGCGGAAGGAAGUAUUCUCUUGACAGAGCAGUAAGCUUUGUGUAGAAGCUUUCAAACUGUUGGAACUUUUGCACUGUGCACAACUUUCUAUUCUCAUCAGUUGAUAUUUCACUUUGAUCUGACAGGCUUCCAUUUGCUAUGGUAAAUCCACCUUUCCAAGGAGAACCAGUAAGCUGGCCUCCACCUCCAAAGGUCAGUUCUUCAUCCUCUAUAACCUGUUUGUCAUCUCAAAUAAGCGCAUUUCAGGGAUCUUUCUCCUGAUAUAUGCUCAAUCAGUCAUAGUUCAGGCAGACAGGCUGUCAGAGAAAUAUAUCAGGAAUAAUUAACCAGAGAUAAAUGUGACCUUCUUUGCUAUACUUACAAGCUCUAGUUGUCCAUCUGAUUGUCUGGUUUGUGUCUUCCCAGAAAUGCCAACUGUAUGAUAUCAAUUAUUAUAGGCAUCAAAAUAGAGUGGAGUUGAAAUGAAUUACCAUCCAUUCAGAAGUUUUAUGACAAAGAGAACAUUGAGCAUGUUGAGAAUCAAAUGGACGAUGACAAGCGUAGGUAAGUUUGAAAUAGUAAAGCAGAAAGCCAAAAACUGCACCAUCCAAGAUUCCAGUUGUGGAUAUAUUUCAUCAUCUCACACCAUAUGUGCAUGUGGCAUAUUAAAAAUCAUUUAUUUAUUAUUAACCUUAAUCAAGAUGGGUGGGUGCCCAAAAGAUAAGCUGUUUAUUCUGUGAAACACCUUGUCAAAAAAGCAGCAGGAGAAUACAUCAAAGUUGGAUGAAUCAUCAGCAGAAGAUGUCAAGAUGCACAGCUGACUAACCAUUCUCUGUGUGAUUUUUUGAUGAAGGGCCACCAUUGCUUCUGUUGCUUCCACCACUAGCCAAUCUGGUAAACCAUCCACAGAAUUCAGAUAAAAGCACUGCUUUAUCGGUUGAUUCAAUAAAAGCUUCCACGUCUUCUUUCGUAUGCAAAACCUCAAAAGGGGCCUCCUCAUGCUUAAGUGACAUGGUAUGGUGUAUUGAAUAUAGUAUAUCUCGAGCACGAAGCUUUCCUUGAUAUUUGAACCGUAUGGAUUGUUGAUAGUAUAUGAACUUUGUUCCUUCAGUGGCCUCAAUAGCAUCCGACAGCAACUUCUCAUGAUUUCUGUACACAACCAUCAGUUUGAGGUGACCAAGCCCCCGCUCAUCGGUUGCAACCAGAUGUUCUAUUUCUGCCAUUAAUGAUCUUGACUCACCAUACCCUGCAGAUGAUCACAGGAAAUGUCUGACUUAGGAAUGAACGUUGUAUCUGGGAAAAUUAAUUUCGGAACUCUUGGAAAAUAUAACUUAGUUUAAGUAGCAGCUCCAAUUAAAACGAACAAAAUAAGUGAUCGGUAACAUCUAUUCCUCCGAUCCUAAAUUCUUGUCGUUGUUUUAGUUCAAAUUUGCGCUAAAACAGCGACAAGAAUUUAGGAUCGGAUGGAGUAUAUUUCCAAUUCAGUGGAGACAGAAAACUCUCGACUGUGGAGUACAAUUGAACUGCACCUACUUGACCUUAGCAACUACGCAGCCCAUCGGAAACCUGAGCUUUCAGCUAGACACGGACAGGAAGGCCGAAGGCUCACAUGGCAUGGUGACGAGGACGAGGACGUGGGGGUGGAGCCGGAUCUGGGAGGAGAAGUUGGCCCUGGUCAGGACGUGCCACUCCGCACGGCCGGCGGUGGCACCGAAGCUUAACGCCGCCUUUGAUUGCAACGCGACGAGGAGGGGGAGGAGGAGGGCGGCGAGCAGGCGCGGCAUGGCCGCGGCGAAGAGGCGGCGCAUGGCGGCCGCCGUCCUCGCGCGGCCGGAAAGAGGGAAGCGGCGGCACCGGACCAGCGCACUACUUGCCGUGAGUUGUGACUUGUGACUUGCGAGGAGAGGAGUCCAGCCGGGGUCCAGCCGGUCUGGUGCUCUGGUUGAUGUUGCUGCCUGGUCUGGUUCGUGCGUCGUUAUUAAACACUUUGUAUUUUGACAAACCUCGAAGGCUGGAACACUUUGUCGGUAACGAACCGAUGGCGUGUGCAGGGUACGGCCAGCAAACGGGGCACAUGAAAUUUGAAGCGAAAUACGGUAUGACUAAGACGCCUGAUUUUGAAACAAAAUGUUUAAAUCUCAGUCGAUCGGAGUCGUCGAAUUAAGAUUUGCACACCAUUUUCACCCGUUUCUCUUUCACAUGUGGACGUUAGAUUAAUAUCCCACGGGCAAGCAAGUCGACUAUAAUUAAAAAACAGUCAAUGUCUCAAUAGCAAAAUCACUUUUUAAUGUUUAGACCUUGGUUGGGACCGUUGUUUUUCUAAUGUUUUUAGAGCAUUAUCCUCUCCAAAUUCAAAACUACCGGAAGCUCCAAUCCAAAUGGUUCUUGAAAGGAUUACAAGGGAUCUUCUAUAUAUAAAUAGGAACAUCUCGCUACAUUGUUUUUCUUAACAUGCAAUCAUGCCACCUUAUCAAACGCACCCGCCAUGUCGCCAUGCAAAUCAUGCAUCUCUUUUUUUUCAUGUACUUAUUCACAUUUUUCGUUAAUCUAUCAAUUCAAACUAUGCCACCUCAUCAACUCAACCAUGUUUCAUUUACAUUUUUCAUUAAUCUAUCAAUUCAAAUCAUGCCACUUCAUCAAUUCAAUUAUAUUUCAUUUUUUGGAAAAGUUUUUUUUACAUCAUUUUGUCACAUAAUUCUUAGGUCUUUUUUAAAAUGUGAAACAAAAACACUUAGAUAUUUUUCCCAUUAGUUUUUGUUAAUUUUAAACAUUUAUUUAUGCAUUUGUGCUUUAACCCUCUUCCGCAAUAACGCGUGGGAUAUCAUCUACUUAUCCUAGAUUCCCCCACAAAACACCUCAUUUUUGUUGAAGUAUAAAUAGAAUUGACCUCCUUUCCCCAUCAACUUUAGCUUUUGGGUGAAUUGGUUCGGUGCACGAAACUCUCCAUGGUAACAGACCCAGGAGGUUUCGAACUGACACAAUUAAAUUGCAGUCCAUUUUCGGUCCAUAUUUAGACCCGUGAGAGCCACCCGUGAGGGGGAGGGGGGUGUUGAAGUAUGAGUGGAUUGCCCGCCUUUUUCCAUCAACUUGAGCUUUUGCGUGAACUAGUUAGUUGCAUGAAAUACUUCAAUUCUCGUAUCAAUUUAAAACACUUCUCAUAGUGGUGUUUGGGGUGAAGAUUCGAGAGCAUCAAUACCAAUACACUUUGACUAACAAAUAACUAGUACCAAACAAAGCCUUACCUGAUAGUCUAUUCCUAACAAAAUUUAUCAUCAAGUGUUUGUCUAAAAAAAUGACAGCCCCUGCUGAUUUUUAGUAAAAGUGACAGAGUCCCUUGCUGACUUUUUUUUAGUUCCCGAGAGUUAGACACGGGCUUGUGUUCUUUGUGAGGUGAUUUACACCCUUAGGCCCUUUAUGGAUUGUAGGGUUUUUAAAAGAAUUUGAAGGGUUCCAAUCCUUAUGAAUUUUUCAUAUACGAGCCCUCUGAAUCAUAGGAAUGGAGUUGACAAAAUCACAUGAAAUUCAUCCUUUUAGGCUCAAUUCCAUAAGAAUUCUAACAUGAGCUCAAACUCAUUCUUCUUUUCCUUUGAAAACUUCAAUGCAUUUUAUCUCAGUAUCUCUCUACUCUCUCUCCUAAUUCCUAUAAAUUUCCUAUGUUUAUUUCCUAUGCACUGUCCAAAGACACCACUACAAAAAUCUCGUUGACGAAGUUGAGACUUCGACAAUGUCCAUAUUGGUGAACUUAUAUCUAGGAAAGAUUUCGAGUGUAUGUGUUGGCGAUCUCGUCGGCUAACAAGGACAUAGGGGGCACGAUUUACCCAGGCUUGUGGCCCUCAGAAGGUAAUACCCCUACGUCCUGUUUGUCUGAUCUAGUAUUGAUGAGUCGAUUACAAAGGGUGCCGCGGAAGGCUAGAUGCACAGAUUCGAUCUGGCCAGGGCGUCUAGGCGGCUUCUAUCUAGAUUGGUUCUCCCUCCUUGGCUCCUCCUCCUGGUACUUUAUAUAUGCAGGAGGCCAGAUCUCAGGUAGAGUCCAAGUCGGUUACAAUGAGAAGAUAUACUCUAAUUAAGCUUCCUCAUCUUGAGUCGCAAGAUUUGGCAUAUGGACUUCUGGAGUCGUAGUAGGCUUCCUUCUGGCCCCCCAGCUGGGUCACAACGGGUAUAGUAUACUCGGGUCGAGUAUGUGGUUAGUCAUAACCACGUCACUCGUGUUUUGAAAUCGUGUAUGAUUCCAACGUACAUGACAUUUCAAUUCCAUGUUUUUCUUAUUUGUAUGUUUUCUAAUUCGUACAAUCCAAAGAAAACCCUUAGGCGUCUUGUUUGGCACUAUGUAUUUUUAGUGGCAAGUUGAUUGGGUAUUUGAUGGAUUGGAUGUUCACCCAACUAGAUGAUGCCCUGUGCAUUGUUGCGGAACCGUGGAGAAAUUUAAGAGUUUUUUGUUCUACAUUUCAAAUCAAGAAAAGCUAAGAAAUAUGUGACAAAUGAUGUAGAAAAGAGGAAGACUUUCCUAAAGAAAAUAAGACAUAAUUGAAUUGAACGAUGGCAUGGUUUAAACAGAUAGAUUAAUAAAACUAGUACCGUGCCCGUGCGUUGCCACGGACUCUUAAACAUAAUACACACGGAAAUUCACAUUUAUAGAAAAGAGAACAACAUAAUCUCUACAGCAAGUGUAUAUCUCUUAAAAAUGAAUCCUCGUAAAAAUAGACUUGGCCUCCUAUAACCCUCGUUUUGAAAACCGGACCAGUGACCGAAUCGGCGAGGCUCUCGGUUCAGAUUUUUCCGGUUGAACCACCGGUUCAUUGCUUGAACCGGUCUGGUUUUUUAAGAUAUAAAAUCAUAUAUUUUUAACUAAAUACUGCAAAAAAAAUAAAGACAUGACAAUAUGAAUAAUAGUGCACACAAUAAUUUACUUGUCUCAUUAUUCUCACACAUAAGUUCCUUUUUAAUUUUUGAGCUUGGUUGUGAAUGUGCACAACUGAUCGAUCUGGACAAAUAAAGAAGAAAAAAGAAACUAUCUCGAAAAUAGAAAAAAGAUCAACCGUAUCUACCUUUCCGUGGGGCCUUGGGCUGAUCGUUGAUUAAUUGGGCCUGCCUUGUUGGGACCAUACAGCAAGGGAAUGCCUCUCAUUUUGCCGCUCGAUUGCUACAUCGUGGAAGGCUGGAACGAGCUUGGCUGGCUUCCGACAUUGUGUAUAGUACCACCUCGGCUGUAUAGAAAAGAAAAUCUCAACCUGAUCUACCUUUCCGUGGGGCCUUGGGCUGAUCGUGGAUUGCUUGGGCCUUGGGCCCAUACAGCCAGGGAAUGCCUCACCUUUUGCCGCUUGAUUGUUACAACGUGGAAGGCUGGAACGAGCUUGGAUGGCUUCAGGCAUUGUGUUUAGUAUCACCUCGGCUGUCUACAUGAAAGACAAAGCACCACAAGCCUAUAAAUAGAGUAACGCGAGGCUGUACCACCCCGAGUAUCUGCACUAGCGGUUAGAUCAUGCAUAGGGGCCUGCUGUGUCGUUCAUCUGCAAUUAAAGAAUACUAUUUUAUGUCUAGCAGACUGUUUUGACGUGACCUUCUGUCCUCCUCCUGACACCUUUUCUUUUUCCUUCGUUUCUUUCUCUACUUUCUGUCUAGCACAGUAUUAUUUUCUUUUUUAUUGCUUCUCUAAUAUGUUUUGUUUUUUUUGUAGAUGAAAAUUUUGGGGAGCCAUUUAUUUAUCUUUUACUAAUUUUAUUCUUUGGUACAUAUUUCAUCGCGUCAGGUACAUGUACACCAAACAUAGUACAUAAACAAGUUUUUAAGUACAUCAUGG